rnacentral:rRNA from 1 species
AUUGAACGCUGGCGGCAGGCCUAACACAUGCAAGUCGAGCGGAUGAAGGGAGCUUGCUCCUGGAUUCAUCGGCGGACGGGUGAGUAAUGCCUAGGAAUCUGCCUGGUAGUGGGGGAUAACGUCCGGAAACGGGCGCUAAUACCGCAUACGUCCUGAGUGAGAAAGUGGGGGAUCUUCGGACCUCACGCUAUCAGAUGAGCCUAGGUCGGAUUAGCUAGUUGGUGGGGUAAAGGCCUACCAAGGCGACGAUCCGUAACUGGUCUGAGAGGAUGAUCAGUCACACUGGAACUGAGACACGGUCCAGACUCCUACGGGAGGCAGCAGUGGGGAAUAUUGGACAAUGGGCGAAAGCCUGAUCCAGCCAUGCCGCGUGUGUGAAGAAGGUCUUCGGAUUGUAAAGCACUUUAAGUUGGGAGGAAGGGAAGUAAGUUAAUACCUUGCUGUUUUGACGUUACCAACAGAAUAAGCACCGGCUAACUUCGUG